UGAGGACAAUAUUAUGAUAAAAGAUCUCUAGCUUUGUUGAAAGAUUGUAAAAUAGAUUCAGCUGAAUAUACAAGGUAUUUUAAAUGCAGCACAUAAGACAUUUCUGUCCGUGAAACGCUUCUUAUCGGUAACCAUCUUGAACCAUACAGCUGUUAUGGGACUUGGACAUUCUAAUUUCUGUAAACAUACCUACAUGUACAUGUAUGUGUCAAACACAGAAAUAUACUUGGUCUACACUGGAAAAGGAAAAAAGAACAUGUUGUCACCCAUACCUGAUAGGGGAGACGCUAUUAUGCAAACCCGUUAACCGAGAGGGUCAAGCUGAAUGAGGUUUUGCCUGUUGGAACUGGUAUAUGCAAAAGAUGUAUAGAAACACACUUUAAAAAAUCAGUAUGGAAGUAAAGCUGAAGGAAGAGCUUAAAGCAGAAAUGUGUUCCUAUUGACAAGGCAACAAUUGAAUCAAACCAAACAGAGCAAAGAGUGGAGGAAAAUGGAAGAAGUCAUGGACUUAACAGAAAACAUAUGACCUAAUACCUGCAGAUUUUGAAUUCAUAUCAUCAGUGCAUAUAAAUUGGUCAAAAGAUGAAAGAUCUCAGCAUAAAUUGUUCAAUCAUGCAAAGCAUAU